CCCCUCUCAGGAUCACACCUGGAGAGUUUCCAGGACUCUACUAGUCUCAGCUACGGAAGGGAGAAUCAAGCAGAGGCGUACCCAUUUCAUUCCUAGCUUGGACAGUGGCUAGCGAAUGAAAGGCAAUCUGCUACAAUU
rfam:Ornithorhynchus anatinus chromosome X1, whole genome shotgun sequence.